UUCAUCGUGAAAGUUUCCAAUUUAUUUCAUAAAUUCAUAGAAAAUUGAGUCAAGAAGACGACCUAGGGCUGCCGGAGUGAAUCUCAAUCGGAAAUAUGGUGAAAAAUGGAAAAGACUUGAAGUUGGUCUGAAUUUGGGCAGUUUCGAGCCAUGUUCAAUUAGGAGAGGCUUAUAAAUCCGAAGGAUCGAUCCGGAAAUUUGGUCAUCUUCCCAGAGGUUAGCUGCCUUGUUGUUCUGCCACUCAAGGACUCGAGUUAACAGUUCAAAGUCUAAAUAGAAGUUUUAGGAGUUUAUUUUGUAAAUGUCUGUACAUAUGUGUUGCUUAUAUUAGGGAUAUUGAUGUAUAUUGCAUCCACUGGACUCUGUACCUAUUAAUAUGAUGCAGUUAUG